UGCUCAUGUAUCAAAAUAGGAAACAGCAGAUAACGCAAAAAAAUGGAUAAGAAUUAGCAUUGAGACACAGGUUAUGCUUCCCUCACAGCAAGUUUAUUGCAAUGGUGACCAUGAGACCUGGAACAUUU
rnacentral:snoRNA from 1 species